UACGUAGGGCGCAAGCGUUAUCCGGAAUUAUUGGGCGUAAAGAGCUCGUAGGCGGUUUGUCGCGUCUGCCGUGAAAGUCCGGGGCUCAACUCCGGAUCUGCGGUGGGUACGGGCAGACUAGAGUGAUGUAGGGGGAGACUGGAAUUCCUGGUGUAGCGGUGAAAUGCGCAGAUAUCAGGAGGAACACCCGUGGCGAAGGCGGCUCUCUGGGACGGUACUGACGCUGAGACGCGAAAGCGUGGGGAGCGAACAGG
rnacentral:rRNA from 1 species